rnacentral:sRNA from 1 species
UAGACUGCAAUUAGCCAUUGAGGAGAGAGAUGAAGCAAUUGCACGAGCCAAGCAUAUGGAAAUGUCUCUAAAAGUGCUAGAAAAUAUUAACCCUGAAGAAAAUGACAUGACAUUACAGGAAUUACUGAACAGAAUAAACAAUGCAGACACAGGGAUAGCUAUUCAGAAGAAUGGAGCUAUAAUUGUGGAUAGAAUCUACAAGACCAAGGAAUGUAAAAUGAGAAUAACUGCAGAAGAAAUGAGUGCACUAAUAGAAGAACGGGAUGCUGCCUUGUCUAAGGUAAAUCAGGGAUUUCUUCUUGGUUUGGAUCCAUUGCUGGCAAAGUUGUUAUCUAUGCAACAAGCCAGAGAAACUGCAGUUCAACAGUACAAAAAACUGGAAGAGGAAAUCCAGACCCUUCGAGUUUACUACAGGUUUGUAUGUGAGAAAGAGAAAAAAGAUUGUGUAUUGGGUUAUGUGUAAAACACAUAUUCAUACAGUGGAUCAUGGUAGAAAACAUUGAAAAAACACACCGAUGCACAAUGCCAUGUAUAUUCUUUCAUUACUAAGUUUAAAAAAUCCUCAAGUCUGAAAUGUACGAAUUCACUAAGGGUGCUGUUAAGUUUUUGAAAGAUUUUUGUUUUAAUUUGGACCUUUUCUCAGAAUAAAGUUAAAAUGCAUAAAAUGCCAUUAAAUCAAAAUAAGUUUUACUGAAGUACAAU